rnacentral:rRNA from 1 species
UCUUCCCAUUCCGAACAGAGAAGUUAAGCUCACUCACGCCGAUGGUACUGCGAUACAAUGUGGGAGAGUAGGUAGCCGCCGUUU